rnacentral:other from 1 species
UUACUCCUGCUUAGUUCGUGAUAAACCGCUUUAUUCGAGCCACAGAUGAUUAAAAGGAGCUCAAUAUUUUGUGUUGGUUUGCAGACCUCCCACUAUUCUCCCUCUUAAUGAGGCUUUUGUCGGACGGAAAUAGUGGAAGUUGGGAGCAGUAAAGGCACAGUGAGGGCACCGCCUUGGAAACAAGGUUCGCAACUACGGUUUACACGGCUCGGUGGGUAUUUU